rnacentral:rRNA from 1 species
UACGUAGGGUGCGAGCGUUAAUCGGAAUUACUGGGCGUAAAGCGUGCGCAGGCGGUUCGUUGUGUCCGAUGUGAACGCCCCGGGCUUAACCUGGGAAUGGCAUUUGGGACUGCAAGGCUUGAGUGCGGCAGAGGAGACUGGAAUUCCUGGUGUAGCAGUGAAAUGCGUAGAUAUCAGGAGGAACACCGGUGGCGAAGGCGGGUCUCUGGGCCGAUACUGACGCUGAGGAGCGAAAGCGUGGGGAGCGAACAGG